rnacentral:rRNA from 1 species
AUUGAACGCUGGCGGCAUGCCUUACACAUGCAAGUCGAACGGCAGCGCGGGGCAACCUGGCGGCGAGUGGCGAACGGGUGAGUAAUAUAUCGGAACAUACCCUAGAGUGGGGAUAACGUAGCGAAAGUUACGCUAAUACCGCAUACGCACUAAGGUGGAAAGUGGGGGAUUCGCAAGAACCUCAUGCUCAUGGAGUGGCCGAUAUCUGAUUAGCUAGUUGGUGAGGUAAAGGCUCACCAAGGCGACGAUCAGUAGCUGGUUUGAGAGAACGACCAGCCACACUGGAACUGAGACACGGUCCAGACUCCUACGGGAGGCAGCAGUGGGGAAUUUUGGACAAUGGGGGCAACCCUGAUCCAGCAAUGCCGCGUGAGUGAAGAAGGCCUCGGUUGGUAAGACGUCUGUGGAGAGGGACGAAGUAAGU